GGGCUUAACACAUGCAAGCCGAGGGGCAUCAGGAAGACAUCUUGCUUUCUUUGCUGGCGACCGGCGCACGGGUGAGUAACACGUAUCCAACCUGCCCUUUACUCGGGGAUAGCCUUUCGAAAGAAAGAUUAAUACCCGAUAGCAUAAUGAUUCCGCAUGGUUUCAUUAUUAAAGGAUUCCGGUAAAGGAUGGGGAUGCGUUCCAUUAGGUUGUUGGUGAGGUAACGGCUCACCAAGCCUUCGAUGGAUAGGGGUUCUGAGAGGAAGGUCCCCCACAUUGGAACUGAGACACGGUCCAAACUCCUACGGGAGGCAGCAGUGAGGAAUAUUGGUCAAUGGGCGGUAGCCUGAACCAGCCAAGUAGCGUGAAGGAUGAAGGCUCUAUGGGUCGUAAACUUCUUUUAUAUAAGAAUAAAGUGCAGUAUGUAUACUGUUUUGUAUGUAUUAUAUGAAUAAGGAUCGGCUAACUCCGUGCCAGCAGCCGCGGUAAUACGGAGGAUCCGAGCGUUAUCCGGAUUUAUUGGGUUUAAAGGGAGCGUAGGUGGACUGGUAAGUCAGUUGUGAAAGUUUGCGGCUCAACCGUAAAAUUGCAGUUGAUACUGUCAGUCUUGAGUACAGUAGAGGUGGGCGGAAUUCGUGGUGUAGCGGUGAAAUGCUUAGAUAUCACGAAGAACUCCGAUUGCGAAGGCAGCUCACUGGACUGCAACUGACACUGAUGCUCGAAAGUGUGGGUAUCAAACAGGAUUAGAUACCCUGGUAGUCCACACAGUAAACGAUGAAUACUCGCUGUUUGCGAUAUACAGUAAGCGGCCAAGCGAAAGCAUUAAGUAUUCCACCUGGGGAGUACGCCGGCAACGGUGAAACUCAAAGGAAUUGACGGGGGCCCGCACAAGCGGAGGAACAUGUGGUUUAAUUCGAUGAUACGCGAGGAACCUUACCCGGGCUUAAAUUGCAGUGGAAUGAUGUGGAAACAUGUCAGUGAGCAAUCACCGCUGUGAAGGUGCUGCAUGGUUGUCGUCAGCUCGUGCCGUGAGGUGUCGGCUUAAGUGCCAUAACGAGCGCAACCCUUAUCUUUAGUUACUAACAGGUUAUGCUGAGGACUCUAGAGAGACUGCCGUCGUAAGAUGUGAGGAAGGUGGGGAUGACGUCAAAUCAGCACGGCCCUUACGUCCGGGGCUACACACGUGUUACAAUGGGGGGUACAGAAGGCAGCUAGCGGGUGACCGUAUGCUAAUCCCAAAAGCCUCUCUCAGUUCGGAUCGAAGUCUGCAACCCGACUUCGUGAAGCUGGAUUCGCUAGUAAUCGCGCAUCAGCCACGGCGCGGUGAAUACGUUCCCGGGCCUUGUACACACCGCCCGUCACACCACGAGAGUUUGCAACACCCGAAGUCGGUGAGGUAACCCUUACGGGAGCCAGCCGCCGAAGGUGGGGCAAAUGAUUGGGG
rnacentral:rRNA from 1 species